AAACGAAUGAGCUUGAGUGCAGUAGGGGCAGGCGGAAUGUCCGGUGGAGCGGUGAAAUGCAUUGAGAUCGGAAAGAACACCAACGGUGAAAGCACUCUGCUGGGCCGACACUGACACUGAGAGACGAAAGCUAGGGGAGCAAAUGGGAUUAGAGACCCCAGUAGUCCUAGCGGGUUAGUUCC
rnacentral:ncRNA from 1 species